GAGCCUUAAUGAUCAAUGAAUCCUGUAAUUGAAGAAUUACACAAGGUAAUGAAUAGGUGAUGCCAAUAACAGAUUAAAAAGAUAAAAAUAAAAUAAAAACAAGUAAAGAUAGAUCAUAAUCAUACUGUAGAUUCCAUCUAUAAUACUCCAUGAAAAUAGAGUUAGAGCAAAGAAGAAACAAGAAAGUAGGGAGGGAUUUGGGUUUUAUUCUGGUAGUUCAUUUGGAGAAAAUUAAGGCGAUAGAAAUGGUCAGAGCAUAGAUUCACUUGAAGAGAUCAGAUCCAAGCAAAAACAUGCAUGUUAUGACUCAUAACCAAAGGAAAACAAAUCUACAACAAUAUUCUGGCACUGAACAUAUGUUUUUAUAAUAUAGCCUAUAGUUGUCCUGCAGUCAUGAAAAUUAGGAGGGACCAACCAAUGAA
rnacentral:misc_RNA from 1 species